rnacentral:rRNA from 1 species
UACGUAGGGGGCUAGCGUUGUCCGGAAUCAUUGGGCGUAAAGAGCGUGUAGGCGGUCCGGUAAGUCCGCUGUGAAAGUCAAGGGCUCAACCCUUGAAUGCCGGUGGAUACUGUCGGGCUAGAGUCCGGAAGAGGCGAGUGGAAUUCCUGGUGUAGCGGUGAAAUGCGCAGAUAUCAGGAGGAACACCAAUGGCGAAGGCAGCUCGCUGGGACGGUACUGACGCUGAGGCGCGAAAGCGUGGGGAGCGAACAGG